rnacentral:rRNA from 1 species
UGGGGAAUCUUAGACAAUGGGCGCAAGCCUGAUCUAGCCAUGCCGCGUGAUCGAUGAAGGCCUUAGGGUUGUAAAGAUCUUUCAGUUGGGAAGAUAAUGACGGUACCAACAGAAGAAGCCCCGGCUAACUCCGUGCCAGCAGCCGCGGUAAUACGGAGGGGGCUAGCGUUAUUCGGAAUUACUGGGCGUAAAGCGCACGUAGGCGGAUCGACAAGUUGGAGGUGAAAUCCCGGGGCUCAACCCCGGAACGGCCUUCAAAACUGUCGGUCUUGAGUUCGAGAGAGGUGAGUGGAAUUCCGAGUGUAGAGGUGAAAUUCGUAGAUAUUCGGAGGAACACCAGUGGCGAAGGCGGCUCACUGGCUCGAUACUGACGCUGAGGUGCGAAAGCGUGGGGAGCAAACA